rnacentral:rRNA from 1 species
CCUACGGGUGGCAGCAGUGGGGAAUAUUGCACAAUGGGCGAAAGCCUGAUGCAGCGACGCCGCGUGUGGGAAGACGGUCCUCGGGUUUGUAAGCCCCUUUCCCCAGGGACGAAGAUGUCGGUACCUUGGGAUGAAGCUCCGGCUAACUACGUGCAAGCAGCCGCGGUAAUACGGGGGGCGCGAGCGUCGUCCGGAAUUACGGGGUUUAAGGGGAGCGUAGGGGGAGGGGAAAGUUGGGUGUAAAGACUACCGGCUAAACUGGUAGUCGCACUCCAAACUGGAGCUCUGGAGUGAAGUAGAGGCAGGCGGAAUUCCUGGUGUAGCGGUGAAAUGCGUAGAUAUUAGGAGGAACACCAGUGGCGAAGGCGGCCUGCUGGGC